rnacentral:rRNA from 1 species
GGUUAAGCGACUAAGCGUACACGGUGGAUGCCCUGGCAGUCAGAGGCGAUGAAGGACGUGCUAAUCUGCGAUAAGCGUCGGUAAGGUGAUAUGAACCGUUAUAACCGGCGAUUUCCGAAUGGGGAAACCCAGUGUGAUUCGUCACACUAUCAUUAACUGAAUCCAUAGGUUAAUGAGGCGAACCGGGGGAACUGAAACAUCUAAGUACCCCGAGGAAAAGAAAUCAACCGAGAUUCCCCCAGUAGCGGCGAGCGAACGGGGAGCAGCCCAGAGCCUGAAUCAGUGUGUGUGUUAGUGGAAGCGUCUGGAAAGGCGCGCGAUACAGGGUGACAGCCCCGUACACAAAAAUGCACAUACUGUGAGCUCGAUGAGUAGGGCGGGACACGUGGUAUCCUGUCUGAAUAUGGGGGGACCAUCCUCCAAGGCUAAAUACUCCUGACUGACCGAUAGUGAACCAGUACCGUGAGGGAAAGGCGAAAAGAACCCCGGCGAGGGGAGUGAAAAAGAACCUGAAACCGUGUACGUACAAGCAGUGGGAGCACAGAGCAAUCUGUGUGACUGCGUACCUUUUGUAUAAUGGGUCAGCGACUUAUAUUCUGUAGCAAGGUUAACCGAAUAGGGGAGCCGAAGGGAAACCGAGUCUUAACUGGGCGUUAAGUUGCAGGGUAUAGACCCGAAACCCGGUGAUCUAGCCAUGGGCAGGUUGAAGGUUGGGUAACACUAACUGGAGGACCGAACCGACUAAUGUUGAAAAAUUAGCGGAUGACUUGUGGCUGGGGGUGAAAGGCCAAUCAAACCGGGAGAUAGCUGGUUCUCCCCGAAAGCUAUUUAGGUAGCGCCUCGUGAAUUCAUCUCCGGGGGUAGAGCACUGUUUCGGCAAGGGGGUCAUCCCGACUUACCAACCCGAUGCAAACUGCGAAUACCGGAGAAUGUUAUCACGGGAGACACACGGCGGGUGCUAACGUCCGUCGUGAAGAGGGAAACAACCCAGACCGCCAGCUAAGGUCCCAAAGUCAUGGUUAAGUGGGAAACGAUGUGGGAAGGCCCAGACAGCCAGGAUGUUGGCUUAGAAGCAGCCAUCAUUUAAAGAAAGCGUAAUAGCUCACUGGUCGAGUCGGCCUGCGCGGAAGAUGUAACGGGGCUAAACCAUGCACCGAAGCUGCGGCAGCGACGCUUAUGCGUUGUUGGGUAGGGGAGCGUUCUGUAAGCCUGCGAAGGUGUGCUGUGAGGCAUGCUGGAGGUAUCAGAAGUGCGAAUGCUGACAUAAGUAACGAUAAAGCGGGUGAAAAGCCCGCUCGCCGGAAGACCAAGGGUUCCUGUCCAACGUUAAUCGGGGCAGGGUGAGUCGACCCCUAAGGCGAGGCCGAAAGGCGUAGUCGAUGGGAAACAGGUUAAUAUUCCUGUACUUGGUGUUACUGCGAAGGGGGGACGGAGAAGGCUAUGUUGGCCGGGCGACGGUUGUCCCGGUUUAAGCGUGUAGGCUGGUUUUCCAGGCAAAUCCGGAAAAUCAAGGCUGAGGCGUGAUGACGAGGCACUACGGUGCUGAAGCAACAAAUGCCCUGCUUCCAGGAAAAGCCUCUAAGCAUCAGGUAACAUCAAAUCGUACCCCAAACCGACACAGGUGGUCAGGUAGAGAAUACCAAGGCGCUUGAGAGAACUCGGGUGAAGGAACUAGGCAAAAUGGUGCCGUAACUUCGGGAGAAGGCACGCUGAUAUGUAGGUGAAGUCCCUCGCGGAUGGAGCUGAAAUCAGUCGAAGAUACCAGCUGGCUGCAACUGUUUAUUAAAAACACAGCACUGUGCAAACACGAAAGUGGACGUAUACGGUGUGACGCCUGCCCGGUGCCGGAAGGUUAAUUGAUGGGGU